CCAUUGAAUCAUCUAAUUCUUAAAAGAUUAGUUAAAAGAAAGCAUUGAGUUUGCAUUACAUUUUUGUUUGGUUUAAUCUUGCAGUGUUUCUAACCUAUGUGAUAUAAUCGUGUCAAUCGUUGACACUUUAAAAGCUUAGUUAAAAAGAAGCAUCAAGUUUGGAUUACAUUUUUUUGCAGUGCUUCUAACCUGUCAGUGACGAAUCUACAGAACAGAAACUGAAAAAGACAGAAAACAGUACAGAAAAUUUUGUGAAUCGAUAUGAUGAUUGCCUCGGAAGAACGUAAAAAGGUCCAUGGAUUCGCGGAUCGCUCCUCGGACCGAAAGGGUUGAUUAAUUAAUUAAUUCAGCAACUCCAAUAUUGUUCCGCGAAAUUGAAAUGUACACAGUGAGAUUGCUACACGACGAAAAUUCAAAAUCUACAGAAGGUUCUACUGUAUUAAAUGCACAACUUAAGCACAACGAUCGAAGGACUAUUGGUCGAUGAUAAUUGAAAAAUGUAUCCCGGCGAGGUAGUUUCGCGAGGAUCGAGUUAUUUUACGUGGAGAUGUGCAGUGAGGCGCA